GUCACGUCCCGCGCCAGCUUUGGAUGAAGAGUGGCCCAAACAGAAGGACACAGCUUCAGUCAGACUCACUUUACAAGGCUGUCAAAGACGCAAGCACCAGCUGCGAGAGUAGACCUGAAACGAGCACGUGGAGCUGGCUCCACACGCAUCUUCACCGGAAACGGUCUAAAUGGCUUCAGAUAUAAGACAGUCGACAUCUACGAGAUGGUGGCAGCCGCCAUUUUGUGAUGUGCUUGGCCUCAGAGAGGUGAAGUAUAUUUCCUGAGGGCCUCCUGACUAGAGCGCGAAAGAGGCUCCCCCACAAGCCUGCCAACACGCUCCCAGAUUUCCAUGAGCGGCCGAGUCCACCUUGACCCGCAGCCCACGCCGGUGCAGGGCCAGGCCAAAAACCUGCUGGAUUUGCCAAUUGGAAGUACUGACCUACGACUUACCCGUUCCCGAUGCAUUCGGACAGGGGAUUCCGGAGUGAAGCUGCUCCACUCUGGGACAGGUGCCAAUUGCUCACAAAAGGCGAGUGAAAAUAUCAGUGAUCUGCACAAGGAAACGUCGGGGGUGAGUGGAAAAUGCAAACUCGCAUGCAUCCGUGCAACUAACGCAGAAAAAAGUGAAGGAUGGUUGCGAGGGGAGGGGAAGACACAGAAAAAGAGGAUCGUGAAAGAAGAGGUGGGGGCGUUUAUUCAAGCCUGUUUGAUGCUCCUCGGGCCUUCGAGAGCCGAUCGCAUGUGCCGUGGUAACUGCGGGACCAUUUGCAUGUGGCAGACACGCUAA
ensembl:lncRNA